rnacentral:rRNA from 1 species
UACAGAGGUCCCAAGCGUUGUUCGGAUUCACUGGGCGUAAAGGGUGCGUAGGCGGUCGGGUAAGUCUGAUGUGAAAUCUCACAGCUUAACUGUGAAACUGCAUUGGAUACUAUCCGGCUCGAGGAAUGGAGGGGGAGACUGGAAUACUUGGUGUAGCAGUGAAAUGCGUAGAUAUCAAGUGGAACACCAGUGGCGAAGGCGAGUCUCUGGACAUUUCCUGACGCUGAGGCACGAAAGCCAGGGAGCAAACGGG